GAUGAACGCUAGCUACAGGCUUAACACAUGCAAGUCGAGGGGCAGCAGGGAUUUAGCUUGCUAAAUUCGCUGGCGACCGGCGCACGGGUGCGUAACGCGUAUCCAACUUUCCCGUUACUCUCGGAUGGCCUUCCGAAAGGGAGAUUAAUACGAGAUGGUGUUCUAAUUUCGCAUGUUAUUAGAACUAAAGAUUUAUCGGUAACGGAUAGGGAUGCGUGACAUUAGAUAGUUGGCGGGGUAACGGCCCACCAAGUCUACGAUGUCUAGGGGUUCUGAGAGGAAGGUCCCCCACACUGGAACUGAGACACGGUCCAGACUCCUACGGGAGGCAGCAGUGAGGAAUAUUGGUCAAUGGCCGAGAGGCUGAACCAGCCAAGUAGCGUGAAGGAUGAAGGUUCUAUGGAUUGUAAGCUUCUUUUAUACGGGAAUAACAUCACCUACGUGUAGGUGCCUGCAUGUACCGUAUGAAUAAGCAUCGGCUAACUCCGUGCCAG
rnacentral:rRNA from 1 species